GGGUCAGUAGGUUGGUCGUGCCACCGGUACGUACUGGUCUCACUGAUUCCUCCUUCCUGAAGAACCGUAAUGCCAUUAAUUUGGUGUUGCGGGGAAACAGGACUGUUACUUUGAAAAAAUUAGAGUGUUUAAAGCAAGCUAACGCUUGAAUACACUAGCAUGGAAUAAUGAAAUAGGACGAUCGAUCCUAUUUUGUUGGUUCUUAGGAUUGACGUA
rnacentral:rRNA from 1 species